UACGUAGGGGGCAAGCGUUGUCCGGAAUCAUUGGGCGUAAAGAGCGUGUAGGCGGCCCGGUAAGUCCGCUGUGAAAGUCCAGGGCUCAACCCUGGGAUGCCGGUGGAUACUGUCGGGCUCGAGUCCGGAAGAGGAGUGUGGAAUUCCGUGGUGUAGCGGUGAAAUGCGCAGAUAUCAGGAGGAACACCAAUGGCGAAGGCAGCAGCUCUGGGACGUGACUGACGCUGAGACGCGAAAGCGUGGGGAGCAAACAGG
rnacentral:rRNA from 1 species